ensembl:lncRNA
AUGUUGCAAGGACAGCUUCUUUCUCAAAGUCACUCGGUUACAGAACAGAAUGUGUUAGAUCAUGUGAGUUAUUUCCAUGAAAGAUUGCAUUCUGUCUGGAAGUUGGCACGGCAGAGCUUAGAAAGUUCACAGACUCAAUUGAAAAGUAGAUACGAUAAAAACACUAUUCAACACUCAUUUAAGCCUGGUGAAGAAGUUCUUGUGUUACUGCCUUCGCCUUGGUCAACUCUCCAAGCUAAAUUUGCAGGUCCAUAUGUGACUGAGGAAAAGUUAAGUGACACUGACUAUGUGGUAAAAACCCCUGACUGGAAAAGGAAAGAGAGGGUAUUUCAUAUUAACAUGCUAAAAUUGUAUGUUUCUCGUCCUAUGCCUGAAUGCACAGUUCGACUUCCUAUUAUUAUAUCUGUGAGUGCAGUCUCCUCUGACUAUUCACCUAGUGUAGAUGAUCUACGAAUUGGAAGUGCCUGUUUGUCUGACAUUUUUCUGAAAAAUUCUAUAACCCUUGUGGUAAUCAGUUCAAAACUCUCUCACUUAUCUAGUUCAUCUCAAAAGGAACUAAUGCAGUUGAUUGAAAAGUAUUCUUCACUGUUUUCUGAUGUGCCCACUGUAACAAAUGUGUUGGAGCAUGAUAUUGAUGUGGGUGAUCAUCAUCCUGUUAAGCAAAAUGCUUAUCGUAUCAAUCCAGUAAAGUGUGAGAUCAUGCAGAAGGAAACGCAGUACUUGAUUGAGCAUGGCUUAGCUGUGCCAAGUUCAAGUCCCUGGUGUUCCCCAUGCCUUUUAGUUCCUAAGCCAGAUGGAACAUCACGCUUCUGCACAGAUUACCGAAAAGUUAAUCAGUUGACUAAAUCAGACUCAUUCCCUCUUCCUAGAAUAGAUGAUUGUGUUGACCGCAUUGGUCAGGCCAAAUUUGUGACAAAGCUAGAUUUACUAAAAGGGUAUUGGCAGGUGCCACUCACUGAUCGUGCUUCAGAAAUCUCCGCUUUCGCUACUCCAGAUGUUUUCCUGCAAUACAAGGUUCUUCCCUUCGGCCUGAAAAAUGCUCCAGCGUUUAAUGAGCAAGGUGCUGUCUAA